GACGAACGCUGGUGGCGUGCUUAACACAUGCAAGUCGAACGGAAAGGCCCUGCUUUUGUGGGGUGCUCGAGUGGCGAACGGGUGAGUAACACGUGAGUAACCUGCCCUUGACUUUGGGAUAACUUCAGGAAACUGGGGCUAAUACCGGAUAGGAGCUCCUGCUGCAUGGUGGUGGUUGGAAAGUUUCGGCGGUUGGGGAUGGACUCGCGGCUUAUCAGCUUGUUGGUGGGGUAGUGGCUUACCAAGGCUUUGACGGGUAGCCGGCCUGAGAGGGUGACCGGCCACAUUGGGACUGAGAUACGGCCCAGACUCCUACGGGAGGCAGCAGUGGGGAAUAUUGCACAAUGGGCGGAAGCCUGAUGCAGCAACGCCGCGUGCGGGAUGACGGCCUUCGGGUUGUAAACCGCUUUCGCCUGUGACGAAGCGUGAGUGACGGUAAUGGGUAAAGAAGCACCGGCUAACUACGUG
rnacentral:rRNA from 1 species